UGGUUUAGUGGGUGACGUUGGUGGUAGGGGGACGGUUGGACCAGAUGAUCUCAGAGGUCUUUUCCAACCUUAAUGAUUCUGUGAUUUUAUGAUUUUUCUUCUACUUGUUUCCUCCACUUUGAUAUUUAAAACGUCUAGUAUUUUUACUGUGCCAUUUGUCAGUCCACUACUAAUAAUUGCAAUAACAGUCACAAGAUCUCUGGAAGUAUUCAGGUGUGCUUUUGUGAUGUUUUAAGACACUCAGUUGAAUGGUAUUAUAUAAUAAGAAAUGCAGACUAUUUUUCCUACUCAAUAAAAUUUUCUAUUUUACAUCUCUAUUUAAAAAGAUAGCACGCCUUGCAUCUGAUUAUAGAAAAGAAAUUGUCUUCAUAUUCCAGCAACACAAAUACAUUACAAACUAUAUACAUACAAACACAUUAUAUACACACACGGCUCAGCCUGCGCAGCUGUUAAUAAAUAUGUAUUUUACAUUUAGCCACUAACUGCUGUUCAAGGUUUCUUUCCAGAUGCCCAGGAAUGAGUUAACAUCACUUUGAUUACAGGGUAAUGCAUUCCCCAUAUCAAAAGCUAGCAAAAGGAACUCCUUUGAUAGCAAAAGAGACAGCCAGUGGUGAUUAAAACAAGCAAAUGUCCUGGGGAGAUGUUUGAAGCAAACUGCAGACCCUGAUCAAAGCACAGGUACUGUCAGCAACAUAAGGUUAGUGGGGAGAAGCAGUGUCUUUUAUUAGCUUGCAGUACUGAAGAAAAUGGACAAGCCUUGAUGCAAUGGCCUUUCUUCAGAUCUAUCAUUUGGGCUAAUAAAAAGCAUUCUGUCUCCCUGUAUAUGUUGCUUCUUUUGCAUUGGCUUUCCCCUCCUGAGACAAUAUUCCUACUGCUAAGGUAGACGUAAUUUUUACGACAGACAUGAUUGAUGCCGCACUGUCUAACAGUUUAUGGGAAUAAUUUAAGAUCCCAAUUAUUUCAAUACAGAAAUGCAGCUCCCAAAGAGAAUUUAUGUGAAUUGUUGAAAGAGAGCUCUGUUAGAGAAAGAAGACACAAAAAGUUGAAAGAUGUGUUUGUCAAAGCCCAAGGGUUCUAACAGAACAAUAGCAAAAACCUAUUUUCUAACAUUAAUGGUAGCACAAAGCUCUCUGACGUCUCUCUCACAGUCAGUCUCUGGCUUUGUGCAACUUGAUUGCAGUGACUUCAGAUUUUUAUUUGCUUCUUAGUCUGUAGCCACCCAUCCCUCUGCCCUACCUGACUGUCUGCUUGCCUCACCAAACAAGAUGGAAAAAAGCCCCUACUUCACUUUCACCCAAGAGCUCCAGGAUGGACAAAAAACACAUCUGAAAGCAAGAAGAGCUGAGAAGAGCCCUGUCUACCUCACGUGUAUGUGGGGUUCACUGCUUCUCACCCCUCCCUCAUCUCUCAGCAGCAGUUUCCUUCACCCUGAGGACUUGUGACCUCCAUGGGGAAGGAGGCUGAGCUAAGAUCCUGAGCCACAUGUGACACUGGAAAGGGAAAACAGUGGGACAGGGAUGGAGAAGGAAAAGAUUAACUGGGAUGAGAAUUUUUGCAAAGGCAACAUUUGACAUAGAGAUGGGCAACAAUUUUGAGAAGGGCGAGCCUUGGAUUCAUGUUCAGGCUAUAUGAGGAUAUGAAAUGGAUUCUUGGGUGGAAAUUGAUUUAUCCUUAGAAUAAUUGGGUGCCUCAGAGAAUUCUGGGGUAGAACUGAACUGGUGGGAGAUGAGUAAAAGCCCUGGGAGGCUGCUGUGUCUGCUUUGUGAGUUGUUUGUUUGAAUCUGCCUCCCCUUGACUAAGGUGUGCUCGAGGUUCCUUCGGGGGAAGGAGCAAGACGAGAAAGAGUGGGGCUAAAUGAUAAACCAUAUCUUUAUUUUUUGUGAUACUAAAAUGAGUAUUUCCAUGAGGCAUUUUGAUCGAAGGUAAUGCUGACAUAUGCUCGAGUUACAGAUCUGCCAGUUUGCUUCCAAACUGUCUGUGAACAGGAGAACAUUUUUACCAGUCUACUCUGCUGCCAAAAAGGCAGGCAAGCAGGAGUGAUACGGAGUGGCUGACUAAUUUCCAAAUGUCAGGGUUUGCCUUUAACUGUCUCUCCUCCCCAGUUUCACAGAGGCAGGCUGCCCGUUUGUGACUGCCGUGCCUUGGGCAAGAGAACUGUUAUUGCUUCCCCGAUUCUGGCUACAGAUGCUGUGCGCUGCUCCUUGACGUAUUCUGAAGUCUUGUCACAGAGUAAUCCCCAAGGAAUGUGUCUUCGUCUGUUUCUUCAGGGACUGCUUUUUCCAAUGUGUGUAAUAUUGUGUGAGGAACUGCUGCAAAGUCCUGUGCAAAUGUCAGCUGCACUUUGCUUGUCAAUGAAGAGCUGAGCUCUUGUUGCAGACACUGGCUUUGUGCAGCACCAGCAUGUACCUGCUCAUUCCUUUUACAGGCAGAUAAGGUACAUUGUCUACAAGACUCUUCAGAGAGCACAACUCCAGUUUAACACUAACACAUCUCCAAACGUAUUCCUUCUCACAGACAGAAAACACAGCCUUUCCCAAAAUAAACACAACCCCAGCCAUGCCAUCUUUCCGUGCUCCUCCAGACAAACACCUGGUGAAACAGAUGAAAUCCUGACCUUUCCCUCAAAGGCAGUCCACAGAGGUUGGCACACAGGAGGCCUUCACCAGGCCCGUUGUGUUGCCAUGGCACAUUAGCUCUAGGCGUGUGGUUUGGAAACCCCCAGCAGCUCUCAGUGACAGAAGCGAUUCCGUAGCUGACAAAAGUCAGAUCCGGAGGUAUACGCAGAAAUAAAGAAGAAGCUCCUGCAGCUGUUGAGAAAGAGGGUGUCAGAAAUGUCCAUCAGUUACCGUCCACCAAAGACUGCUCACACUGGGAGCUGUCAGAGGGUUUUGACAGCUGUAUCCUGUCGCAGCUGCAACUUCUGUGAAAACGCUGCAGGGUAAUGCCAAAUAAGUCACGUAUAAGUGGGUAAGCAUGGCAAAGCUACAUGCAAAGAUGCAAACAGAGAUAUGAGAGUGGGAAAAUAAGAACUCCGCACAGAAUCACCGAAUCAUUCAGGUUGGAAAAGACCUCCAAAAUCAGCUGGUCCAACCGUUCCCCAGCCACCAAUAUUACACACUAAACUAUGUCCCCGAAAACAUGUAUUACCUAUGCACAUUAACUGAAAUUUUGGGAAAAAUAGGGGAAUCAGAGAGCACCCUCUUCCCUGCAUGCAUUUCAGCAUAACUGUUCUUGUUCCCACCCCUCCCCCUUUGGGCUUCUCCUUUCUUCCUCAAUGACCAUUUUAAUAACUGUUUUGGUGGUCCUAUUUCCUCAGCACUGUUUCCAGCAAACUUUUCAUUUCCUGGUGGCACAUCUUUCUUCCUUACUUCUCCUUCAUUAUCCCUUGCUACACAGCUCACCCAGCUACUGGGGUGAUAUCCCCUGAACAAACACAUGGCAUUCGCCUAUUCUACCCCAUUUUCUUUGCUCCAGCCAAAUCCCUGAUGUUCUUUGAGCUCAGAUCCUUCUUCUCUGCAGAAGUCUUAACCUUAGAAGAGGCUCUUCUUAUCUCUUCACCUUGUUCUUACUUCACUACUUCUUUUUCAAUGUCAUUAUCUCUCUUUUCUACCACCAACACAACCUUCACAAAGCUGCCCUUAUGUUUCUCAUCUUCCAAUCCCUCCUUAGACUCUCCUCAUUGAAUUUCCCUGAAGGAUCCCUGCAAAGAUCACAAGACCAGCAGAAACCCCUGCCAAAGUGAUGAAAUAUGUAUAGGCUCUAUCUGCACAGAUAGCGAUAGCCCCUUCAAGCCUCCCGUGUCAGUUAUGAACUCUGUUGCUCACAUGGCAUCCUGCAAAGAUGAUAAACUGAGCAUGGACUCCCACAGAGAAAAUAAAAGCCAGAAGGGCUCCCCUGGUGCUUCGUAUUACACUGAGGCUUCAAAAAGAUACGGAUAAAUGUAUUCAACCUUUGCAAGACGAGGAAGUACAGCAAAAUGCUCCAGAAUGACUCAUUUAAAGGAGCCUCAGGAAAGCGAUGGAAAUGCACAGCACUGGGUUAAGAUGCAAGGGCAACAUAGAACAGGGUGGCAUAAAACUUAGGAAACCUCAGAGCAAAAACAGGAGAUAGGGAGGAAAUAGAGCUUGGAAAUUCAAAGUUCAGUUAACCCAACUGUUGCAUAUACAGGCAAUCAGGACCAAGACAGCUUGGAAAGACUCAAGUCUUUCUCAGCACCUUGCCACCCCAGGCUGUCUCAGUGUUUGUCCCUGGACUAUAAAGUAUCUGACACUCUAAGCCCUCUGCAGCUUUAUUAGUCCUUUGACCCAUAUUGCAGUCAUCCUAAAGUAGGUCUAGCAUGGUUCAAGUUGCAGAGGGCAUACAUAAGGGAAUAUUCUUGCAGAUGGGGCUUUAGUAUUUUUGAAAAUCCUAAAAGCUUAAAGUAGAUAGCAAUUUCCCAGCUACUGACAUAAAUAAAUUAUACAAGGAAAGCAGGCUGGAAAUGAGUUCAGUCUUUGGGUGAAGUGCAAGAAGAAAAAGAGGUCAGAUACUGCUGCUGUCUUAUCAAAGCAGGGACAGGAGAAUGGUCUGGGAUCUUCUUACAGCCUUUCGACAGGUUCUUAGGUAUGAACCAUGGCUCUGCCUGGGGCAAGGGUGCUAAAGGGUCCCUCCUUCACUGCCUAUCUCACCCGGUGCUUUAAAAUGAUGUGCAUGAUACCACCACUGACUGACAUUCAUGUAUGCAAUUCAUUUUGCAUUAGCAAAUUUUGCAGGUCAAACUUUUGCUCAAAGCUAAUGGAUUCAGUUUCAACUGUCUUAAAAUAUAGCGUGCUUUCUCUGCAGGUCCGUUACAACAGUCAGCUUUAGCUUGAUCUUUCAACUGUUUUUAUACAACCAUCUGCUUCCACACCAAAGAACAGAUGAUGAGAGCUAAACAGAAAUUUAUUCCUGUAAGACUUCAACAGAGUGCAGUGAUGUGUUCAGGCUAGCUUCGUAGUGCUUCCUUCCUCUGAUAUUUAUAUUUCUGGUUUUGAUCAAUUAAUCAGUUGUGAUUGUGGGUUUUUAAUAAACACAAGAAAAAACAAGGUCUGAUUUUCUCUUACAGCUGUGGGCUACCUACCUCAUGAGCAUAAAACAUUAAAAGACUUACUAAUACCACUAUUUUUAGUCAUCUUUUAACCUACGUUGUUCUUGUUUAUAUUUUACUUGUGUGUUUACUUAAGUGGCCUAUUAUUUAUUUAUCCUUUAUUUUUCACCUAAAUACCCGUCAGAAUGAAGCAGCGCAUGGUGGUUGAGAAAAAUUACCACACAAGCAACAUUUAAAAGUGCAGUUCUGUAGAUGGGAAGGAGAAGAGCCAGAGGGGGACAAUGCUUUCUUCAGGCAAGGCUGGCUCUGUCACCUGAGAGGACAACACUGAGACAGCAGGGCAUUGCCACUUCCACCGCCAUCUGAGAAGUGCCCAAGGGGAGCUGCGCUUUGCUGGCUCAAGCUAUUUGCCUUCCCAUCUGCUCGAGUUGAUUUAGAGAAGUGCGUUACGCAACCUGCUAUCUUCCUGCUAUGCCGAUGGUCGAAUGGAUGUGGCAGCACACUUAAUGCUUCGAGGAGAAGUUUUGAGGAAAAGGAGUGGUUAUUUCAAACCAGGCUUUUCAGUCUGCAGCGGUAGAGAUAUUCCUAUGUGACCAAAACAAAAGACUUGAGGAAAGCUGAAGAAGAUUAAAACUGAGAAAGGUGCACUCAAUUGUAUGGGCGAGGAUUAGUGCUUGAAAACCGGUCAGGACGAUGCUAAAGACAGAUUAUCUGCACAGUUGGGGGUUUGGCAGUGAAACAGUGCUAUUGUACCACAGCCUGGGGCUUGUUCGCCUGCAGUCCUUCAGAUCGCCCGGUACCACUGGGCAGGAACAUUUGCAGAGCACAUGUUAAGUGCCCUCAGCUAAGAAAACCCAACACAUUUUAGUGGGUGCUUGUGAAAUGUGAUAAAACAUUCCUAUCAAUAUUUAGUUUAAUGAAAUCCCUCCUAAAAUUCCCUACAUUUUCUGUGAUAAAACUAUUUGACAGUGUGCUCUACACAGGCCGGUACUACAAGUGACACAGUCUUUCCUUCCUGAUCUCUAUUUAUGGGGCUGUCACUCACCUCUCAACUUCCACCAAUACUUCAUUAGAGAACAAGCAUCCACUUUGAGCAGUCAGCAUCUCUGCUUGGCUUCCUCAGCCAGCUCCCAAGUUUCUUGUCCACUUCUCGUCUGCAAAACCCUAACACUGGGGUUGGGGACCACUUGCACAAGGAGCAGGAUGUGUGCAGGCCUUCUACAGGGAGCUCAUCCCAGCCCAAAGACCUCACCAAGCUCCCUCUAUAACUGAAUUCAUUAUCAGAAACAAGCCCAGAGCAGACACAGAAACGUAUUUAAGUUCUGAAAUUAUAAAAAAUGAUGGUAUUUUUAAGUUAGCACUUGUUUAUCUUCUGAUCCGUGACAAUUCACCAAAGUGAUAUAAAAUUAUCAUCUGAUGUCUCUCUCUAGCUGUCUCACAGCAGUGUCAGAGCAAAGAAUGACUCGGCAAGAAGAGAGCUGGUAAAUAUAAACAACUUCAUCAAAGAAGCAGGUGCCUCCGGGUGCACGAAACCUGCUCUUGCAACACUGACAGAAUAAUGCUGAUUCUAUUCUGAACACUUACAUAAUGUUUGGAACAUAAAAGAGCUAGUUCUUGCUAUUUUUUGCUUGAAGUUGAAAACUGGCAAGAAUUGAUAAGCAUAUUAAAGUUAUUUCAGGUCACUGGUAUUCCAAAAAGUUCUGAAAACUCCUAAUUAAUUAAAAAGCAAUUGUACUCCAGUAACUGACCAUGUAAAAAUGAUAAGUUAAAUUCAAAGCAGUAAAUGUUGCACUCUAAAUCCUAUUUUUCAUAUUGUAGUGGCUUUAUGGCCUUGCAAAAAUUAUGGUUUUUUAACCUGUCACAGUUCUUAAAAAAAUGCUGAAGGAGAAAGGUGAGUGAGAAGACAUGUGCUCCUUUUGCCUUUCAGAUCUGUAGACGCAAGGUCUGUUAAAGAUCUCCACCGCUUUUGCCUCAUUAGCGUUCAUUUUGGAUGGAAGCAGAAAUCAAGUUAUUGAUGGGCCUUAAAACUGACUUUUCGGAUGAAUUAGACUCAAAAAAAUAUUGAGCAAUGUAAUUUUUCCUAACUACAUGGAUACAUCCGUACAAAGGUGCUAGUUAUUGAUGCGCAAAGUGCACACAAAGAAACAGGAGUCUAUGAAACAAUGAACUUGAACAACGUCCUGUUACCAAAAGCUCAUUUUCAUGGCAAGUGCAGGCAUUGUUCUUUGUGAUGUUCCAGAUGGCACCUGGUUGUAACAUGGCGAAGUGACUUGAAUUAUCAUAUGGUUUGAUCCUGCUACAUGUUGUCUCCAACAAUACAACAGGUGCAUAAGGUACGGGUAGGAAUCAUUGCACUCCAGAACAGUUUUCAUUCAGCAACUACGGCUGUUGCCAAUACUGUUCUCCCCCAGCAUUUCUACUAAGGAAGAACAGCUCUGAGCAGCAAAGGAAAUCAGAGGGACUUCACAGAGAAAGAAGCCUCGUUCUGAAGAGGAGGAUGUUGCAGCAAUAUGAAUUUGGUGGGGUCUAAAUAACACCUGUCUUUUCUGCUAGUUAACAUAAUGGGGAAGAAUACAUGAGACUGGAGAGGUAGGAAGAAUAGACUGAUACUGUUACAUCUGAUUUAAUGAAGUGAGAGGACACAGGAGAUUUUAAAACCAGUGUUGCAGAGCACAGUGAUGUACUAUGGAGAAGACUUAUAGUUUGAUCUAAGGUUAAAGAGGGACAUGAACAAGCCAGAUUUUGGCAUCAUCAGGAAAAUAAAUGGUUGGUUAUCUUAACUCCCAUCAAUUUUACUAUCAGACCAAGUCAAUAUUUAUCUGGAGUACGAUCCUUCUGUAAUCCCAAGCCAGAAUUUCUGAUAUGGAAGUACGGACUUUGAUUGUGUCUUUUCUCUCCACAACACAAACCAGUAGCAUUUGGCAACAGAUUAAAAUGUGAAACAAACAAAGAAAAACAAAACAGCAUAAGAGAGGAAUCAGACCCAUAGUGAUUGCAGAGAUAUAACUGGCUACUUGCCAUAUGCACCCAGCCUUUGGAUUUUCAUACUGCUUCUCAUUGCUUUCUGCUGGGCAUAAAUUAUUUCAAAAAUCUGUAUCAUCCUCAUUGUGAAAAGGAGAGAGAGAGAACAGAGCUCUGACUGGAGUAGCUGCUAUUUGUGAACAAAAAGGAGAAACAUACCUACAAGCACAUUAUUGCUGGCUGGCAGAUGCCUUCAGUGGAGAAAUUGUUACUCAUCCACACUCACAGACCUCUACAUACCAGUCCCUAUAUUUAACUUCUCUGGUUCUUCCUUCCUUUUGAACCCAUUGCCCUUGCUCUCCCAAUCCUAAUCAGCAUUUUGUUGUAGCUACCCUUCCCCACCCCUAUGUAUAUAUAUAUUUAUCCUCCUGCUGUCAGAAGUUUGCUUUUCUAGUUCUCUAUAAAAAA